CCGUUACAGAAUUAUUGCGCGCCACGUGGUUAGCUCGGAUUCCCAGCCUCCGGGGCAGCUGGGCGCGGUCACGUGACGGAAUUCUGGCCAAUAGGCUGUGAGCGCGGUGAAACGUGCGCUUCCUGAGCCUUGAAGCUGCGCGCCCCACCCCCCACCAGCGUCCUUCCCGUUCUCUCCUCCCUGCGGCCCGAGUGGGACUCGGGGGUGGGGCUGCGCAGCAUUCCGGGACCUACCGGAGGCGAGAUGGCAGAGCAACGAGGGAGCCAGGAGAGAGAAGUGCUUGAGAGCCAGGGUCUCUGGUUCAGCCCCAGGCCCACCCCUUCCCGUCAGCGUGACCUUGGGCAGAUCACUUAAUGUGUCUAUAACUCAGGCUCUUCACCUGGAGAACGUUCCUAGACGAGGCUGAUGCUGUGGUCAGGAGACCCUGCUCGGAGGACCUCUGCCCUCACCUUGUCACCAUCGAGAGCGCUACCCUCUCAAGUCUCGCCUUCGAGUCCCAUUCGCCACCCCGCUGGCCUAUCUCUUCUGCGCUCUCCACACCCUCAUUCCAACAGCUUUUCCAGCCUCCUGCUCUGCUCCUCUGUCUCCACUCACUCGCCUCGUGAUCCCCGUGAUCCCCGGGUUCGCAGCUUUUAAAUACCCUCAGUGCAGCGACGACUCCAUGUUUCUGUCUCCAGCCCAGAUUCUGUUCUGAGCUCCAGACUACACAUUCAGCUGCCUGCUGGGCUUUACUUGGGAGUUGUGUCAGAAAAUAUAAUUUGUCCACCAGUAGCCAUUUUCCCUUCUUCCUAAAUAAUCACCAGCACUUCAGUGCCUGGAAUACACAUUAUAUGUCCCAGCCUUCUUUAUAGUUAAGGACAGCCUAGUGACUAAGUUGUCCAAUGAAAUAUAAGUGGAAAUGUCUUGUGAAAUUUCUGGGAAGUGUCUCUGGUGUUCUUCCCUCUUCCUUCUUCCUGCUGGCUGGAAUAUGCAUAUGAUGACUGGAGCUCAAGCAGCCAUUCUGCGUUAAGAGGUGGGAGCCAGGUGCUGAGGAUGGCAGAACAUUAGAUGACCAUGGAGCUACCACACCAGCUCUGUUUUCUAAGGAUUUAGUCUACAUGCAAGAGAUAAAGUUUUGUUUUAUU